CCUGGUUGAUCCUGCCAGUAGCAUAUGCUUGUCUCAAAGAUUAAGCCAUGCAUGUCUAAGUACAAGCCAUAUUAUGGUGAAACCGCGAAUGGCUCAUUAAAUCACACCUAAUCUACUGGAAUGUUAGCAGUUACUUGGAUAACUGAGGUAAUUCUUGAGCUAAUACAUGCGAAAAAUCCCGACUCACGAAGGGAUGCUUUUAUUAGAUCAAAACCAAACAGCUUCGGCUGUAACACUGGUGACUCUGAAUAACUUUGGGCUGAUCGCAUUGCCUUGAGCAGGCGACAUUUCCUUCGAAGGUGUGCCCUAUCAACUGUCGACUGUGAUAUAGACGCUCACAGUGGUUUUGACGGGUAACGGGGAAUCAGGGUUCGAUUCCGGAGAGGGAGCCUUAAAAACGGCUACCACAUCCAAGGAAGGCAGCAGGCACGCAAAUUACCCAAUGAACGAAGUUCGAGGUAGUGACGAAAAAUAACAAUACAAGACUCAUCCGAGGCCUUGUAAUUGGAAUGAGUACACUUUAAAACCGUUUCACGAGGAUCUAUUGGAGGGCAAGUCUGGUGCCAGCAGCCGCGGUAAUUCCAGCUCCAAUAGCGUAUAUUAAAGUUGUUGUGGUUAAAAAGCUCGUAGUUGGAUUUCGGCGGGUAUUGGUUGGUUUGAAUUGCUUCAACACUGACUUUUUUACCCGUGUGUUUUGCCAGAAUUUAGCGGGUGAUCUUCGCCGAUUGUCCGUUGGAACUGGUAGGUUUACUUUGAAAAAAUUAGAGUGCUCAAAGCAAGCUUACUGCUUGAAUAGUUGCGCAUGGAAUAAUAGAAUAGGAAGUCGUUUCUAUUUUGUUGGUUUUCGGAAAUCGACUUAAUGAUUAAUAGGGAUAGUCGGGGGCAUUCGUAUUCAAACGACAGAGGUGAAAUUCUUGGACCGUUUGAAGACGAACUAAGGCGAAAGCAUUUGCCAAGAAUGUUUUCAUUAAUCAAGAACGAAAGUUAGAGGUUCGAAGGCGAUUAGAUACCGCCCUAGUUCUAACCAUAAACGAUGCCAGCUAGCGAUCUGCCGGCGUUUAAUUUUCUGACUUGGCAGGGAGCUUCCGGGAAACCAAAGCUUGUGGGUUCCAGGGGAAGUAUGGUUGCAAAGCUGAAACUUAAAGUAAUUGACGGAAGGGCACCACCAGGAGUGGAGCCUGUGGCUUAAUUUGACUCAACACGGGAAAUCUCACCAGGCCCGGACACUAGUAGGAUUGACAGAUUGAUAGCUCUUUCUUGAUUUGGUGGGUGGUGGUGCAUGGCCGUUCUUAGUUGGUGGAGUGAUUUGUCUGGUUAAU
rnacentral:rRNA from 1 species